rnacentral:rRNA from 1 species
UUAAAUUUUAUUUAUUAAUUUUAUUGUUUAAAAUUUAAAUUAUUAAAAAUAAUUAUAAAAUUAAAUGUUUUAGUAUUUUUUAAAGAAAAAAUAAUAUAAAUUAUAGUUUAUUAGUAUUGUAAAAGAAAAUUGAAAUAAUUGAAAAAUUAUUAUGUUAAAAGAAAAUUUUAUUUAUUGUACCUUGUGUAUCAGCGUUUAUUAAAUAAAAAAUAAAAAUUUAUUAUUCUCGAUUUUAAAAGAGUUAAUAUAAUAUAAAAGUUAAUGUGAUAAAAUUAUUUUUAAUAUUAUAUUAGAAAUGAAAUGUUAUUCGUUUUUAAAGGUAUCUAGUUUUUUAAGAAAUGAAUUUAAUUCAGAAUUUAUAAAUUUAUUAAUUUUAUUAAAUUAAUUUAAUAAUUUAUAAAUUUAAUAUUUUAUGGGAUAAGCUGUAAAAUAAAUUUUUAAAAAUAAUAAAUUUUAAUAAAAAAUAUAAGCUUAGAAUUAGCAAUUAUUUAUAAAUUUGUUAUAAUUUAUUUUGUUUAAAUGUAUUAUUUAUUAUGUUUUAAGUUUUUAUUAAAAUAUUAAUUUUAAUUUUAAAAAUUAAGAAAAAAUGAUAAAAUUAGUAUAUUAAUUUGUUAAAUAAAUUUAAAUGAUAAGUUUAUGUAAAG